rnacentral:lncRNA from 1 species
UUUUGUGAAAGCUUUGUUUAUUCCCGUCUCCCUUUACAAUGUUUACAUCUAUGCCUAUAUAUAGGAAAAUAAAUGACUCCUACUUGCCUUCUACUAUUCACAAAUGACUUCUACUAUUUACUAUUACUAUUCACACUUUGGCUUUUCAGAAAAGAGAAAGUCUUUACUUUACUUUAUGUCACUAUCUUCUUUACAUCUUUUCUUCUUUAUCCUCGUGCUCUCUUAUCUUCUUGUCUUUUGUCUUCUUAUCUCUUUGUCUAUCUUGUUGCCACUUGUCCAUUCUUAUCUUCUUGUCUUUGUCUCUUAUCUCUUUGUCUAUCUUGUUGCACCUACUUCAUGACUUUUUGCACUAUUUACUUUAAUAAUGUACUACAAAAUAAUACAUAUUUUAUUUGUCUUUUUGGCCAUGUAUUUUGUUAUCUUUUUUUUUUAUCUCUUUGUCUUUUUCUUCUUUUCUUUAGUUGAUUAUUCUAGCUGGACAUCUGGUAUCACAUUAUCUUCUCCGUUGCAUUUUGAACAUAUAUGAUCUGGAUAUUUGUGUCCAAUUAGUUUACAAUAUCUGGUUAAUAGUUCAUUUGAGAUGAAUCCCUUCUUUAAUGCUUUGGUAAUAGGUUGUUCUACUAGUUUGGGUAGAGAUAAUAUCCAUUUUUGUACUUCGUCCAUAUCUGCUUGCCUUAGCUCCCUUGAGUUUGAAUAUAUCAUAAGUUGGUCUCGUGAAUAAUAACUCCAUAUUGCAUUCCCAUUAAGAUAAUUAUUUGCUAGUUCUUGGAUAAUUGUUGAUAUACCAAUUAUUCUCUUAUUAGCAUAGAAACUUGGUAUCUCAAUUUCUUGUAUCUCUAGUUGUUGUCCGAUAUAUAUUUUUAGUAGUGUGGUAGGUGGUGGUGUGGUAGGUGAGGUAUUAACUAGUCAGAUUUUAUUAUAAUAUUUUUUUUUGAAUGGUGUUAAUCUUGAUAUCUCUUUAAUAUUAUUUAUGAUAUAUUCUAGAUAUAACAUAUCUUGGGUUCUUAGAUACAUAUAUAAAUUCUCCUCCAUUAAUUGUUCUAAUAGUUUUAUAUCUUCCAUAGAUUCUGUCCAAUAUUGCAAAUAUUCGUAGUUCAUUUUAAUCUGAAUUUAUUUCUAAAUCAUGCCAUUCUAUUCUUUCGAGGUCUAAAUCAUAUAGGUCAAUUUCAUACCAUUGUUGAUUUAAUAUAUCUUCUGAUUCGUUAUCAUUAAAUAUUUUUUCCCAUAUUAUUCUUCUUAAUUCAAUUAUCUCUAUAACUUUAAGUAUAUAUAAGAUUAAAGUUUCAUAGUUUUUUAUCAUUUCAUCAUGCAUGUAUGUAGUCAUGUUCGUUGUUAUGCAGGUUUUUUAUUUUCAAUUAUUCCUUCCUAUCAUAUUCAUAAUUGAUUAAAUUCAUAUUAGAUCAUUAUGAACUAGAUUAUCUUUAUCAUGUUUUCCUGUCACUACUAUCAUCGUACUUUAGCGGAGGUUUAAUAUAUCCUCUGAUUCGUUUUCAUUAAAUAUUUUUUCCCAUAUUAUUCUUCUUAAUUCAAUUAUUUCUAUAUUUUUAAGUAUAUAUAAGAUUAAAGUUUCAUAGCUUUUUAUCAUUUCGUCAUGCAUAUAUGUAGUCAUGUUCUUUACUAUGCGGGUUUUUUAUUUCAAAUUAUUCCUUCCUAUCAUAUUCAUAAUUGAUUAAAUUCAUAUUAGAUCAUUAUGAACUAGAUUAUCUUUAUCAUGUUUUCCUGUCACUACUAGCAUCGUACUUUAGCGGAUACUUCCUUCUUAUCAGCGCCUCAACUUUGUUUACUCCCCUAAACGACUUUCUUUGCCUAUCAGUUUCAACAUUAGGAUGUCAUAGUAUAGAAGUUUUCUCCCUGUUUCCAGUGUGCUAAUAAACUAGAAAUCAUGAUUCAAAUAAUUCUAAUACAUAAUAACUAACAUAAAUUUAAUCAAUCAUAUAUAUGAUAUUCAGGAAUAUAUGAAAUUAGUUCUACAUAUUUGUUGAACAAUAUACAUUUGCUUCUUUCUUAUUCAUGCUAUCUGAAAUAUCUGAUUGGAUUUCAGAUUGUCGUUCCAUUAUUUUUUAAGUAUUGAAUAUCUUAAAUAUUUGAGAGAGUGUUUUUGUGAAAGCUUCGUUUAUUCCCGGCUUACUUUACAAUGUUUACAUCUAUGCUAUAUAUAGGAAAAUAAAUGACUCCUACUUGCCUUCUACUAUUCACAAAUGACUUCUACUAUUUACUAUUACUAUUCACACUUUGGCUUUUCAGAAAAGAGAAAGCAUUUACUUUACUUUAUGUCACUAUCUUCUUUACAUCUUUUCUUCUUNNNNNNNN